AUCUCUCCAAUUCGAAGGGCGGCAAAAAAAGUUAAAGAAAAAGCUGCAGAAAACAAACACUCUUCAAUAUGCGUUUUCCGCAAUAACACAACCCGGACCUUCAAAUUGAGGCUCAGAAAGACCGUUGAGAAGCCGUCCAAUCAGCUGUCAAGAAGACCCCGAGAUCAACAGACCCA